UACGGAGGGUGCAAGCGUUAUCCGGAUUUACUGGGUUUAAAGGGUGCGUAGGCGGCCUAUUAAGUCAGGGGUGAAAUACGGUGGCUCAACCAUCGCAGUGCCUUUGAUACUGAUGGGCUUGAAUCCAUUUGAAGUGGGCGGAAUAAGACAAGUAGCGGUGAAAUGCAUAGAUAUGUCUUAGAACUCCGAUUGCGAAGGCAGCUCACUAAGCUGGUAUUGACGCUGAUGCACGAAAGCGUGGGGAUCGAACAGG
rnacentral:rRNA from 1 species